UGGUAUUGAUAAUAGUGUAGCAAUAGGAAAUGCUGUUAAGAACACAUCUUGGAGAAAUGACAUACUCUGCAAUAGAUUAUGCUGGGAAAAUUGCCCAGCCACAUGCAGAAGAAUGAAACUAGACCCCUUUCUCAUCAUUACGAAAAUUAACUUAAAUAUAUAUAAAAAAUUGUCAAGCUGAGGUGACAAAUGCUUUAAUUAGUUUGAUUGAAUCUUUAUACACAAUCCAGACACCACAUUGUACCUGACUGUUUGGAAUGAAACUCUUCCAAGUUUCUCCAUCACUUUAUCAGCUAGCCACUGAAGGCCAGGACAGAAGAGCACCAGCAUAGGAUCUAUUGACACAGGUGUCUUGCAGGGUGGCCUUGUCCUUUCACAGAUCUGAUGGCAGGCAUGACUUCAGGGAUACAACUCAAGGCUAAAGUUUGGUAAGACCCAAGUCAGGAGUGGGGCACACCUGGAGAGCACACAUAUAGAAUUUAGCACAGGCAGGGAGGGAGAAAGAAGAGAACAUAGCAAUCAGCAGUAGAUAUUGAGGAAUGGGUGUGAGUCACUUUAAUUUCACGGGUAAAUGCUUGAAGUGGGGAGCCUGGACUGCUAAGCAGGAGAGCUCUUAUUUCUGACUACUCAGGCCAUUUGGGUAUGAUUUAAAACUGGUAACUGUCAAGAAUGAAAGCCCUGCCUCUGGUAAAGCUAAAUCUGCAAAGUGGAUGCUGAGGCAACACAAAAUUAUAAAUGUUCACCUCACCUAUAAGUAGACAUGAUUUUUGUCAACUAAAAGCAAAUUUUAAAAAGCAGAUGAGAAAUUCAAGUAAUAGUUGGUAUUGCCUUUUGACAAUAAAAUCCAGAGGGGUGGAAACAGUCUGUUGCAGUCUUGAAUUUCUUCAUGAAAUAUCAGUCUCUGUUUUUAAGGCCUUUGAUCUAUCUUGUGUUUGACCAAACAGCUGGGUACUGCAGCCUAGCAUAUUGAUACACUUAGCCAUUAAAUUCAUAUUCUUAAAUUUUUGACAAAUUUUAUUAUCACUUUUUGAUAAAUUUGUUACCUUUACUUAAUUAUAUGUUUGGUAUUUCUUAACCUUUUCUGUUUUUAUCCUG
rnacentral:lncRNA from 1 species